UUAGCUCUGUUUUUCUCAUCUAUGCUCUCUUCUAUACUUCUCAUCCCUAACUCUAUAUCAGUCUAUUUCUCACCUCCUUUAUUCUUAGAUUUUCAGUAACACUCUCCUUACUAUCAUUAGCUUUUGCUUUGUAAUUUCAAUUAUUAUUGAGUUAAUAUAAUCAGUUAUUUGGUGUAUCUUCUGGGUUAUUACAUUGGUGCUUUCAUCCAUCGGACUCCAACGGUGGCGAUGUUUUUACCCAGAUUAAGUGGCGACGGUAACCCGGAGCACUGGAUUUUUCGGGCCGAGUCGUACUUCACAUACCUUGGCUUCUCCAAGAAGGACUGGCUGCCUCUUCCUUCCUUCUACCUGGACGGCGAUGCCCUCGUUUGGUUUGAUUGACUAUUUCACAACAAACAAUUCUCUGACUGGAGCCAUUUCAAGGAGAAAUUUCUUCUGCAUUUUCCAAAACCGACAAUUUCUGAUCUGCAAUAUAUUUCGACUUUCUAUGGGCUUGAAUCUACUUUCAGACCAGCCAACAAGAUGAAACAAGCAUUCGAUGAACAGUCUACUGGAGUUUUGCCUAAUGUAAUGGUUGAUAGUUCUUCGGUUCCAACAGCAAACUCCAACAUUCAUCCUCCUUGCUCCUUAGGUUCAUUCACAAAACUUUAAGUACCUGAUAUACAAGAUCCCAACUCCAGUUUAACUGGGGGAGAGAGAUGUGCACCAGUCGAAGACAGGGUAUUCGACGAAAUUUCCCAGAGUGACGAACCUGAUCUGCAUUGCCAUUUUACAUGCGAUGAAGCACUCCUCGUUCCUCUUGUUGAACGAGAUCAACUUGUGUUCGAUGAAAUAUAAAAUAGCUGCUGCCCAACAUUAUUUCUGAAGGCGUAAUUAGCUGCCUCAAUUGAAAUGAUCGCGAAAGAAGCUACAAGUCCUGAAAGCAGCGAAUCCCAACUGUUUGCUAAAAGUCCCAAAAGAGAUAUGCCAGUGAGAGAUUCUUUGUGUAUGGGAUCCAGAACUUAGUUCUGAGUUCAUGGCUCUAACAGGUUCUACUGAGAAAGAGGAGGCACAUACAUUGUUUGAAGAUCUUAGAAAAAGAAGGAACUGUUUAUUUGCAAAGUUGUAUGAUUGUGAGUUUGUGGGUGGAGUUGAAAGGGGUUUUAAAUGCAGUUGUAAUUUUCGAAAUUCUUGUACAUCAUAUAAGCUACUGGGUGAGUCUAUAGCACAUUCAUUUCUAUAUUCCUUUGAUGGUGCUCUGACUCACCUUGAGGAGCAGUACAUGAUUACUCAAUUGAUGUAUUUUAGGAGUGGUAUGAUGUGGUGUCAUUGUGAGAUUGUGUAGCUAGUUGUUGUGAUGCAUUGGCUACUAUUUUCGCUCAUUCAUUAUGAAGAAGAUAUCACUCGCUUCAGCCUCGUAUACAAGAUUUUAAUGAUGCUUUCCUA